UUUCCUUUGUUAACAAGUAGAAGAUGAGACUGAUCUCAAUCAGUUAACAAGAAUGUGGAAAGUAAGGACUUACUACUGUCUAACCUAAACAUUGAUGGCAGACGGUUAUGCUGGCAUUGAUCCUGUUUCCAAAAGCAGAUCAACAUGAUUCCUCAAGACUCCAAAGAGAUCAACUAUGGGACCUGAAAAUAAAGGCAGACUGCCAUCAAUUUCAUGUUUCUUUGAUAGCAGACAAAUAUGCUUCAACAAUAGUGCAGAGAGUAAUUUAAGGUUUGGACUGCAAGUGAUGGACACACUAAAUAACUCAACUCAAAGAAUUCAAUGGAUAGUGCUGAGUACAUUAUUAUAUAUCUACAAAGUGAUGGGCACACUAAAUAGCUUAACUGACAGAAUUCAAUGGACCGUGCUGAGAACAUUGUUAUAUAUCUACAAAGUGAUGGACACACUAAAUAGCUUAACUGACAGAAUUCAAUGGACUGUGCUGAGUACAUUGUUAUCUACAAAGUGAUGGACACACUAAAUAGCUUAACUCACAGAAUCCAAUGGACAGAGUUGAGUAUGUACUAAUAUCUACAAAGUGAUGGACACAGUAAACAGCUUAAUUCUCAGGAUUCAGUGUACCAUGCUGAGUACAUACAUGUAACUCAUCAA